rnacentral:rRNA from 1 species
UUCAACGGCCGCGGUAUUCUGACCGUGCAAAGGUAGCGCAAUCACUCGUCCCUUAAAUAAGGACCUGUAUGAAUGGUUAGACGAGGGCUUAACUGUCUCCCCUUUCUAGUCAGUGAAAUUGAUCUAUCCGUGCAGAAGCGGGUAUUAUUAUACAAGACGAGAAGACCCUUUGGAGCUUAAGGUACAAGACCUAAUUAUGUAAAAAGAACUAAUAAAACACAAAAACCUAGUAAAAAUAUUUCUUUACCUUCGGUUGGGGCGACCAUGGAGAAGAAAAGAGCCUCCAAGUGGACCGGGAACAAUUUCCUAGAAUUAAGAGAAACAUCUCUAACUCACAGAACAUCUGACCAAUAAUGAUCCAACCACCUGGUUGAUCAACGAACCAAGUUACCCUAGGGAUAACAGCGCAAUCCUCUCCAAGAGUCCAUAUACGACGAGGGGGUUUACGACCUCGAUGUUG